rnacentral:misc_RNA from 1 species
GGAAUAGGAAUUAUACUUUAGUUUUGAGUAGUUGGCUGAAACUGAAACAAAUUUCACAAAUUAGGAUAAAAUUAAGAGGUUUUGCCAAAUUGAAAAUGUGCAGAAGUUUGGAUUAUUUUGUCUCUAAAAUUUAUAAAUUUUAUUGAGAUAAUUGUUGCAGCAUGAGACACUUUGUUAUAGAAAAUCAACCUAAAAUAUGAAGUGAAACACUGAAAGAAUUGUGGAUUUUCAUGCUUUCUUCAGAUGGAUUGCUGGUUUGCAAUUUCAUGUGGAGGCGGUUGGUUUGCUCAUUUUCUCUUGAUUAUCUCAUCUAACUUGCAGGUAUCUAGAUCGUCGGAAGCG